rnacentral:rRNA from 1 species
GGGUUGUGAGGUUAAGCGACUAAGCGUACACGGUGGAUGCCCUGGCAGUCAGAGGCGAUGAAGGGCGUGCUAAUCUGCGAUAAGCGCCGGUAAGGUGAUAUGAACCGUUAUAACCGGCGAUACCCGAAUGGGGAAACCCAGUGUGACUCGUCACACUAUCAUUAACUGAAUCCAUAGGUUAAUGAGGCGAACCGGGGGAACUGAAACAUCUAAGUACCCCGAGGAAAAGAAAUCAACCGAGAUUCCCCCAGUAGCGGCGAGCGAACGGGGAGGAGCCCAGAGCCUGAAUCAGCAUGUGUGUUAGUGGAAGCGUCUGGAAAGGCGCGCGAUACAGGGUGACAGCCCCGUACACAAAAGCGCAUGUGCUGUGAGCUCGAUGAGUAGGGCGGGACACGUGAUAUCCUGUCUGAAUAUGGGGGGACCAUCCUCCAAGGCUAAAUACUCCUGACUGACCGAUAGUGAACCAGUACCGUGAGGGAAAGGCGAAAAGAACCCCGGCGAGGGGAGUGAAAAAGAACCUGAAACCGUGUACGUACAAGCAGUGGGAGCACAGGUUUACCUGUGUGACUGCGUACCUUUUGUAUAAUGGGUCAGCGACUUAUAUUCUGUAGCAAGGUUAACCGAAUAGGGGAGCCGGAGGGAAACCGAGUCUUAACCGGGCGUUAAGUUGCAGGGUAUAGACCCGAAACCCGGUGAUCUAGCCAUGGGCAGGUUGAAGGUUGGGUAACACUAACUGGAGGACCGAACCGACUAAUGUUGAAAAAUUAGCGGAUGACCUGUGGCUGGGGGUGAAAGGCCAAUCAAACCGGGAGAUAGCUGGUUCUCCCCGAAAGCUAUUUAGGUAGCGCCUCGUGAAUUCAUCUCCGGGGGUAGAGCACUGUUUCGGCUAGGGGGCCAUCCCGGCUUACCAACCCGAUGCAAACUGCGAAUACCGGAGAAUGUUAUCACGGGAGACACACGGCGGGUGCUAACGUCCGUCGUGAAGAGGGAAACAACCCAGACCGCCAGCUAAGGUCCCAAAGUCAUGGUUAAGUGGGAAACGAUGUGGGAAGGCCCAGACAGCCAGGAUGUUGGCUUAGAAGCAGCCAUCAUUUAAAGAAAGCGUAAUAGCUCACUGGUCGAGUCGGCCUGCGCGGAAGAUGUAACGGGGCUAAACCAUGCACCGAAGCUGCGGCAGCGACGCUGAUGCGUUGUUGGGUAGGGGAGCGUUCUGUAAGCCUGCGAAGGUGGCCUGUGAGGGUUGCUGGAGGUAUCAGAAGUGCGAAUGCUGACAUAAGUAACGAUAAAGCGGGUGAAAAGCCCGCUCGCCGGAAGACCAAGGGUUCCUGUCCAACGUUAAUCGGGGCAGGGUGAGUCGACCCCUAAGGCGAGGCCGAAAGGCGUAGUCGAUGGGAAACGGGUUAAUAUUCCCGUACUUGGUGUUACUGCGAAGGGGGGACGGAGAAGGCUAUGUUGGCCGGGCGACGGUUGUCCCGGUUUAAGCGUGUAGGUGUGUGUUCCAGGUAAAUCCGGUU